GACGAACGCUGGCGGCGUGCUUAACACAUGCAAGUCGAACGAUGAAGAAGAGCUUGCUCUUCGGAUUAGUGGCGAACGGGUGAGUAACACGUGACUAACCUGCCCCUUUCUCUGGGAUAACGCUCCGAAAGGAGUGCUAAUACCGGAUACGACCCUCGGCGGCAUCGCCAGGGGGUGGAAAGAAUUUCGGUCAAGGAUGGACUCGCGGCCUAUCAGCUAGUUGGUGAGGUAACGGCUCACCAAGGCGACGACGGGUAGCCGGCCUGAGAGGGUGACCGGCCACACUGGGACUGAGACACGGCCCAGACUCCUACGGGAGGCAGCAGUGGGGAAUAUUGCACAAUGGGCGCAAGCCUGAUGCAGCAACGCCGCGUGAGGGAUGACGGCCUUCGGGUUGUAAACCUCUUUUAGUAGGGAAGAAGCGAAAGUGACGGUACCUGCAGAAAAAGCACCGGCUAACUACGUGCCAGCCGCCGCGGUAA
rnacentral:rRNA from 1 species